GAGUUUGAUCCUGGCUCAGCCUGAACGCUGGCGGCGUGGCUAAGACAUGCAAGUCGAACGGACGUAGCAAUACGUCAGUGGCGGACGGGUGAGUAAUGAAUCGCUAACGUACCCCGAGGCCUGGGAUAGCUGCCCGAAAGGGCAGGUAAUACCAGAUGAGACCACGGCAUCGCAUGAUGCAGUGCUCAAAGCCGCAAGGCACCUUGGGAGCGGGCGAUUUCGUAUCAGCUUGUUGGUGAGGUAACGGCUCACCAAGGCGACGACGCGUAACCGGACUGAGAGGUUGGCCGGUCACAUUGGGACUGAGACACUGCCCAGACUCCUACGGGGGGCUGCAGUAACGAAUCUUCCGCAAUGCACGAAAGUGUGACGGAGCGACGCCGCGUGUAGGACGAAGCCCUUCGGGGUGUAAACUACUGUCAGGGGAAAGAAAGUUCUGAUCUACCCCAGAGGAAGGGACGGGCUAACUCUGUGCCAGCCGCCGCCGUAAC
rnacentral:rRNA from 1 species